GAAAUGUUAUUUCUCUUAAUCUGCUCCUUGAGCUCAGCUUUGUGUUUUUUUAAAGUGAAAAUUAAGGGGUUUCUCCAUUGUGUUGUCUACAAAACAAGUCCAAUACACUCAGUCAAUUUUUUGCCUGCAGCAUUACAUGCUUCAAGCACGAAUUGUGCCUGCCUGCCAGGAUCCCGAGGAGCUGUGCAAAUGUUAAAGGGUUAAUCCUUGUAAUUAGGCAAGAAUUAUUUGUGCUCCCUUUCCUACAGGAAGGGAAACACUGAACCACAGCGUUGAGUAGCCAAGGACCUGCACUAAGGUUUGGGCCACAGGUAACAGCGCUGCGUAUCAGUUUUGUCUCUGCAUACAGCAGUUUCCCCGUCUGUAAAAUGAAGAUUAUGUUGUUGAGGUCCUUUAUGAAAGGAUAAAAGAUGCCGCUUAAGAGGUAGGCAUUAUUAGGAGGAGUUUCAAAAGCCCCAAGAGCACUUAACUCUCGUCAAGGAGCAUUAGUUGCCUAAGUGCUUUUGGAAAUGCCCCAGCAGCCUACCCGCACCACUGGGCGUGAGCAGGACUGGGACCAUCUGACCAUGACAGCCGUCUGCUCCAGAAAACCCUCUCUGGGCACUGGGGCACAUACAUGGUAUUUGGCAGGAUCGAGCCUUUGGCGUACUGACCCCGAGUCCUCCCUGGUGUAGCUUCCUUGCAGCCCAUGAUGCUAUCCUACGGCCGCAGGCUGCCAAGGCAGGGGGUGUGAACUGCAUGGCAGCAGGUAUUCACCAUGGGUAGGCCUUGCUCUGCCCAGGAAAACAGGGCAAUGUAAAUCCAGCAACCCUGACCCAUGGGCUGCCAGCCAGAGCCUCCCUACUCACUUCCCCAGCAGCGCGCCCCCAGCCAUGAACACUUCCUCCCUGCCCUGUGUCCCGCCAAGCAGACGGUGCUGGCCAGGCAAUCAGCCCCUUUCCUGCUGGCCCUGACUGCGCCGGAUGAAGCCCGAACAGCUUUUUGUAGAACGGGGCUGCCUGGCCCUUGCCGUCUUGGCCAUGAAAGGGGCAGAAACUUUCUGAAACAAUGAUUGAGUUACUCAGCCAAGCUUUCAAUUCAGAUCUGCUGUGGAUGCAUUCACUGGCUUGAGUCCUGUGGCUAAUGUAGGGCCUUGACUGCUGCAGUGCCUCAGUUACCCUGGGUUAAGAGCUACGUUGGUUUUGCUGGGCCGGGGAAUGCAGGCCACGCAACUUCUCGUUUCCCCGCAUCGCUGGAAUAACAGCGAGCAGCACGAGGGCUCGGGACUUGUUCGCCCUUCAACCAAAAAACCAGCCCACCACAUCUCCCAGCUCUGACAGACGCGGUUUCUUCGGCACACAUCUUGGAUGAACCCAAAUCUAUCCGACUGCCUCUUCAGGGAGGACCAGCUCUCGUGAGGCACUGAGCACGCCACAAACCACUCCUGGUCCUUGGUGUCCUUCUCUUUUAAUCACCGCCAAAAGACGCGCACGGUUCUUAUUACGGUAAGGGGCGCGCAGCCCCCACCCCCGUGGUUUCCCUUGGACAAAACUGAAACAAUCGGGAGAUCCCAGUUCUCAAGUAGUAACAGUCCGUAAGUACGUGGAAGUGCACACACUGGAGUCCAGGUUUGCUUCCCGUUUGUCACGGAGCAGCAGCUUUGUGUUGCAAGCAUGACACUGUCUUUGCUGCCAAGAUAAAUAGCGGUGCAUAUUGUAACUGGCUAUGGUGACGCGAAUACUGAAAUGCAUGCAUGCCUGUAGGCUGAGGGCCAAAAUGCAUCCAGCAUGUUGGUGUGCGGGAAGCCUGUUGGCAUGUGCCGAGGUACUGGUAUCCCAUUUUGCUUUCCGUUUUAUCGUGCAGUUAUCACAACAUUUCCCAUGCAUGCUGGAAUGAAGUAAGAGAGUGCGGUCCGGCAGCGCGGCAAAUGCAAGGCAAAGGCCGCUGUUGCUGCACGCUGUACGCUACGUCCUUGGACGUCGUGGGGCAGGACACCAGCAGCAGAGGAUGAGGAUGGUGCUGCGAGCCACUAAACAGCGCUCUGAAUCCUGAACCAGAAUGGCUCCAUGCAAACGCAUCCUUCCCCAUGUCUCUGCUACUCUGCAUUUGCUCCUCUCCAGCUUGUCUGUGCAGCUUCUUAAACCCUACCCCCCACUAUGUACAAGCGGAUCCUGGUGUGUGGGUGUGCUUAGGAGGAACGUUUGGCCUGCCCCCGGCUACCAUCAGAGAUGAAGACAAGUGGGUCGGACAUAGAGGCCUGGGCCUUGGCUCUGCUUGGUCCCUUCCCAGUGGCUGGUAUAGUUUAAAAGUACCUUGGAAGGUGGUUUAACCAGACAGGGGGAACUAACUCGGGCGUUUGGGCACCUUUGGGCUGGCAGAGUGGCCUCAUGGCCCUCGCCACCCCCAGCACCAGGCGGCAUGUAAGGGAGAGGUACAGCAGGGUGUUGCACCCUCCAACUCUGAUGCACGAGUCAAGUGGCCCCUUUCACGAGCUGCUCAGGCCCCUCUAACCAUUCCAGGGGCUGCACGUGGACUGGGAGAGGUGGCUCGGAGGCCGUGCUGCUUCUCCCACGUGCUUCGGCAGCAGCAUCUGAACUGGAGCGAGGGUCUCAGCCAGGACGCAGCCUUGUGUUCCUGGGGGGACUCGGCGCUACACCACGGAUAAUACUCAAGAGGCUGCACGGUCUAGUGAUUCAACAGCAGAUCCAGGUCCUAGUCUAAGCUCUGCCCCCGAGUCACUGGGGGACAGCUGGUAAAUCACUUCACCCCUCUGAACUUUGGCUCCCCAGCUGUAUAAAAUCUGAAGAUGGAGACGAAAUGGCAAUGGCAAGGCUUGCCUAACACAUGGGAGCUCUCCAGUGCAUUUGAUCUGGGUUUCUAAAGAGCCCAGUAAUAAAUGGCUGCAGGGUGCUGCAGGAGUGCCAGCAAUCAAGCUCCUCAGGGAAGUUUGGCCAAAACAAAACUUGCAGAGGGAGGACAGGGAGGGGCUGCAAACCGGCUUGUGAAAACGCUCCCUGCUACCCUCCCUGCUCUACCAAGCGGAAGGUUUCAGCGUCACUGCUUUGCUAUCAAGCCCCUAAUGUGUUCCUGCAAGUUUUUGCUGCUUGACCAAAUGUCUUUCUCUGCUGCAGGAGGGAAAGCUAACCGAGAAGCAAAGUAGCACAAAUUAAGAAGGAGAGCCUGCUCCUGGCACCCUGCUGACACCACUGAUAUGACCAUUAAAGACGUCCAUGACAGACACCGAGCAAACCGUAAAAAACACUUUGUUUUGUGUUUUGUCGGUAAUGAGAAAAAUCAAAACAGAAAAGGGCACAACCGGGAAGGGGGUUUGGAGGUUUCUUAGGGGGUGACGUGCUGCAGAAGUAGGGCAGAAGCUUUCUACUAUUAAAUAGAGUCUGCCAUUAAAGAAAAUAAAAAGUGCACAUUUGUCAUCAGGUACCAGGGUUACGUCCUGUUCUAACUACAAUGCAAAAGCUGUGGCUUUGCAUGUGCCAUUGUGCUGUUACAAUGGUGUUGGCAAACAGAAGCAAUUAAGCUGAUAAACUAGCUGACGUGUUCAGACGGGGCCAUAUUUUGUGCAAGAAUCUGUUACCACCGUAAACCGAUACUGCUCAGGCUGCAGGCUCAGCUGGUAUGAGAAGGAUUAGAGAAAUACCGUUUUAAGGGAAGAGUAAAAUGUAUUUCAAAUGGCUCCGCAGCGGAGCACAGUUCAGUGUUGGGAAUGCGAAGCCCACAACAAGAAAACAGCAAAACUUAGCAGUUUGAGCUCGCUGCAAUUGCAGAUCUGGUAAUAAUGAGAGAAAUGUCCUAAAUCAUUACAAUCCAGGGGACCGCAAGCCAGAAAACCAACGGAGAAAUGUUUUUAUUUGUUUCACAGCUCCCAAAUUCUGCUGGAGAAUUUUCCAUUCUUCCAGAUGUUUUCUGGCAGACAGAAAGACUUUUGAUUUCAAACGCUGAGCUGUCUGUGGACCCAUCGGACCACGCUCUGACAUUCAGGAGAAGGGAGCAGCACUGAAGAGGAGCCAGGCUCUGCACAACCCCAUGGUGAGAGACGGUCGUGCCCCAAAGAGAGCUCAUGACCAAACUAGGUAAAGAGGGGAGGGAAAACGGAGACAAAGAAGGGAGAAGGAAGCGGUGCAAAGUCAGAGCAGAGGCAGGAAUAGAGCCGUGGCCUCCCGAUGCCCAGCCCUCAAUCCACUCCUCCGUGCUGCCCUCCCCGCCCCGUCGUUGCCAAACUACUGUAAAGUGCAGAUGUCGCAUGCCCUCAACUGCAACCCCAACCCAGGCUGAGACGACCUUGUGUAGAUAAAAGUGUGCACACGGAUGGGCAUUUCUUACCUGUCUCCAUGGCCAUUCCCAACCCUUGCACUGACUGACUGGUCCCUGUUGAAACCACCCUCUGUGCUCCAGGGUCAUGCUGCCUUGCAGCUGACCUGUCUGAUGCUCUGACAAUUUGAUGGCGCAGCCGCAUCGUAACUCAUAACACUUCCCAGUCUCGUGCGCCACAACCGUUUAUAUACCCAUCUCUGGAGUAGACACCAGCCUUUAGAUACGCCGAUGGUCCUGUCGUAGUGCAGCUAGCCAUACGCUGUUCAGUGCUGAAAUACAAUUCCACCAUUAAUCUAUACACGAAGUGCCGUAGUCAUUGUGAUGAUAAUGUAAUGGAGAGCAGUCCAUUAACGAGGAUCAGUUGUCUGCAAUAGGCAAAUUAUUUUCUUUUCAAGUUUCCAUCAGUAUUAAGAUAUAUUCAUUAUCUCUGUUUUAUCCCCCCCCCCACCUCUGCCCCACAUCCCUUCUUUAUCUGAUUUUGGUGCAUUAAAGGUACCAGUUGGGGAACUGGGCCAACUCUGCUCUCUCUUCCACGGAGGUAACCUCAAUGAGACGACUGGAGUUUUACAGGGUAAUGGGAGGGAAGAAAUGGACUGACCGUGGUUAUAUGUUCCCUACAGAGUCGCACUGUACUAGUCUGCAGCUAACACAAAGGCUCAGGAUUAAAUGCAGUGUGUUUUCAAGUGGUGAAACACCCUAGCAGCAGUUGAAAGUGAAGUGGAAUUCAUAAAUGCCCUUUUCAUCUGGAUCAAACUGCUAUGAGGUGCAGUUAUGUUCAUUAAUGAUGUCCUUUAAACCACAUUGUGAAAUUCCAUUAACAAUAAAUGCUUUAAAAAUGUA